ACCCCAUUCAUUUUUGAAAUUGAUAAGAACAAAACCUCCAGUCAAGAAGAGAAAAAAAAUGAGUUGGAGACAAACAUGGUCACAAACCAAAAAUGACAAACAAAUAGCAGCUUCACACAUGUUAGAACUACUAUAAAGGUCGUCUCUAUUUAAGCUAGCAAAAACUUAGUUCUCUGUGUCUACCUUCUUGUUCAAUUCAAG
rnacentral:lncRNA from 1 species